CGCUCGCGGUAGGCUUAACACAUGCAAGUCGAGCGCCCCGCAGGGGAGCGGAAACGGGAUUAGUAACACUUGGGAACGUACCUUUCAGUUCGGUACAACCAAGGGAAACUUUGGCUAAGACCGGAUACCCCGUAAGGGGAAAGAUUUAUCGCUAAAGAUCGGCCCGGGUCUGAUUAGCUAAUUGGUGAGGUAAUGGCUCACCAAGGCUACAUAAUAACUGGUCUGAGAGGAUGAUCACCCUCACUGGGACUGAACACGGCCCAUACUCCUACUGGAGGCAGCAAUGGGGAAUAUUGGACAAUGGGCGCAUGCCUGAUCCAGCCAUGCCGAGUGAGUAUGAAGGCCUUAGGGUUGUAAAGCUCUUUCUCAGGGAAGAUAAUGACGGUGCCUGAAGAAAUGCCCCGGUAACUUCAUGCCAUCAGCCGCGGUAAUACAAUAGGUGCUAGCGUUGCUCGAAUCACUGGGCGAAAAGCGCACGUAGCUGUUUCUAAGUCA
rnacentral:rRNA from 1 species